CCCAAUCGAUUCAACAUGUUUAGUCCUUCCACCUUUGUGAUCCCACACUCCUAAUCAUAUUAGCUAAAAUGCUGCACACUCAAUCUUUAGAAGAUAUAUAAAAAAACAUAAAUAUAGAUAGAUUAUCUUUCCAUUAGGUUGAGCGAUCUGAUCUGACAAAUGUUUUAAAUACUACACUCAUGAUCUUAUUAUCCAUCAAAUUUGUCUUGCUCACUAUGCUUAAGGUUAGAGAAGAACAAAUACACUUUUGGUUCUGUUGGUGUUUUCCACCAACAGGACCCAUGCACUUGAUCUCUGUCUUGUCUCUAUGAGCAGGACACAUUUUGAGAAACACUGGGGAUUUUUCAACUCCCACACUCUACCAAGUGAAGGACUUGGAUCUACGAGCACAAACACACUGAGCAAGAUACUGCCAACGCCGCACUUUGAACUACUGGGCAAACAAAGAACAUGGGUGACACAGUAUCAAGUGGUGCAGACGUCAAGGUCCACACCUGAAUCAAAUGACGCACCUAAAGAAUGAACACGGUGAGAAGUCUUGUUCAGAAGACUUAAAACAUUGAACCCUCGCCGAAAGGUAAAAUCAGUAAUUAUCCAUAUUUAUCCUUUCUACAUUCCCUUUUCCCUUUAAUUAUUUACUUUCCUUAAAUGGCUUGUUAGUUAAUCAUGCUAUCUUGAAAAGAAAUAAAAAUAUUAAAAAUAGUAAGCCCAUGUGAGUAUGCUCGUGGCAUAAAACCCAUAAGUACAUUCACUGUGGUGGCAUAAAAAUAAAAUAAAUAUAUUCCUGUCCUAUAGAAAUAAAAAUAUAAAAAUAAAUUUAUGAUCCUACCAAAGAGAGUAAUAUUUAUUAGAGGAAGCUCAACAUGAUAAAGGCAAAGAUAUUUUUAUGCUAACACUUAACCAGUUCCACAAAGCUUUGUAGUCUAUUUGAGCUCCACAGAAUUUAAGGAUCAAAGAAGACUAGCACACGGAGGACAUACUAAUCGCUGUCCGGGUACUGCCGACAUUCAAAUACACCUCCGCCACCUCCUAGCUACAUCAGAAGAAAUUACGUCAAAAUCCAGCUUGGGGGAGAGCACCCCCAUUUAUCCAGCUAAGUGUUUCUACUCGCGUUUAUACUUUACUCAAAUAAUAAAAAGAUGCAUAAUCAUAAAACCCAAAUAAAAAUUUUGUGCUUAUAUAUAUCUUUGCUUAGUUUGCUAAAUAAAUAAAUAAAUAAAGUUUGCUAUGAACCCUCAUGAUAAGCUCUCACAUGGAUAUGAUGAAUAGUUGCUCUGCCAAUUAAGAUUUGCUCUAAACCUGAACUUAUGGGAAGAGUACUUGAUCUAAAGUCUAAGUCGUUAACGGAUAUGAUAUGGGAAGGUUGAGCUGCUGUUUAUCUGUUCCUAGAGAUGCUAGAAUUCUAGAGAAUUUUAUCUUUGAAAAUCUUUAAAAUGUCGCAUGACGAGUUCCUGUAUGAUGAGAGUUUAAAAUCCUACCACAGCCAUAUAUACAUGCUUAUUAGACUAUGAACCAUACAUGUACUUUUUACUGCUUAUGAGCAUUGAGUGUGGUCAAGCUAUGUAGACCCUUAGGAGCAUGUCAUGCGGUUAAAAUCAAGAUCCACUUGCACGUUCACUCAUACAUGCUGCUUCUACUCCGGAAGUAUGCAUCCACAUACAUCCACUCAUUUUCAUCUCCAGAUUUACCCAAAAUUAUUCUACUCCUAUCCAGGAGAGAAUAGCCAAAAACAUUAUCCUAUUCCUGUUAUUCCCCGUGAAAUAAAUGCUCGAGAUAUUUUGGUUACUACCACUUGCUACAUUAUUCUAGGAGGGUGAGUGCUCUGAAAAAAAAGUGAAUACGAGGAAAUAAAAAGGGGCAAGUGCCCGAAACCUCGAAGAAAAGAAAAAGUGAGACGAGAGGUAAAAAUGGACAAGUGUCCAACAGUAGAAUUAGGGGUACAAGAUACCCACCUGAGAGAAUAAAAAAAAAGAAAAUAUAGAGCAUCUCAUUCCCCUCAAAAAGCUUCAAAGUGCAAGAAAGGUAUGUAUCCCCUCAAAAGAGCAAAAGUAGAAUUAGACUUUCACCAUUGUUUUCACCAUUAUCACCAUUAUCACCAUACACCAUUCAUUCGCCACACAUGCACAUCUUGAUUUGACUUAUUGACUUGUUUCUCUGGAUCCAUGGUUUGACUAUGCAAUAAAUGUCUUAUAAGUAUGUAUUAGCUGUCUCCCACCUAUGAGCUCCAGAUAUCAAAACCUUAUUAGAGUAGGGUGAGAGAGAAAGCAAUGUCACUAUGCCUCAUACCAAAAAUACCACAUACUUUAAGAGAAGGCAUAUACCAUUACUGCCUUGGUAAGGAUCUAGAAAUACCACAAAAGAGAGAAUUGAGAGAGUCAUACAAGGAAUCUCUGAGUUUUAUUUUGAAAAUCUACAAAAACUCCAGAGCUAUAGUUGAUCAAAGAACAAGAGACAUGGCGCUUGACUUGACCGUUCUAUCUUUUAACUGCUCAAGACACAAGUGACGGUUGCAAGCCCCAUGGUGGAAGGAAAAAUGAGUAAGUUUAAAUCUUAAUAGUUUACCCUAACCCAGAGAUGAGAUCUUAUUUGAACGCAUGUGUACCUUUAAGGCAUAAAACCACUGCAGAAACUCUUAAGUCCAUCCUUGCUCAGGGACGAGCAAGAGGUAAGGUUGGGGGAGUUGUUGACGGUCCUUAAGUACCAAAUAUAAUCAUCAAAUAAAUAAAGAAAGGAUCCAAAUGCAACCAACACCCAGACUUAGGGUUUUAUCUCACAGAAUUCAACGAGUUUUGGUGUUUGUCUAUUUCUGCAGGGUGUUAUCAGAAAAUAUGGUGGAAAGGCCCACAUGUCGGGUUUACAUAGAGAUAUUAACGUGCCGCGCAAUUUUGUAUCAUCUAGAAGACUCCAGAAGCCACAGGAACGAACGGGAAGCCGAGCGGGCUCGGGGACGGGGCGCCCGCCCUCCCCCCUUGGGCGCCCGCCGUGGUGUUUCGGCCAAUCACGUUCUACUUCGCGGAUGAUGCUCCACCGACCUAAAGGAUCAAGGAAAACCGUGUGAUUAAUGUCGGUUUGAUCCGACGGCCCAGAUUCACUUGAGGGGACUAUAUAAGCAGGCCCCCUGGCCCCUAGAGGAGACACCCCCCUUGAUCCCUAUUCAAUAUUCAUAGACAGAGUAAAAGCUAGGGUUUGGAGAUGAGAGCUCUCCUCUCUUCUCUAAAAUAGAAUAUAUCUAGAUAGUAGCGAGAUGGAGAGCGAGGGAGGAUUGGAGGAGAGGCCGGCC
rnacentral:lncRNA from 1 species